UUUAAAAACAAAUUCUACCCUGAAUGUGCCCGAUCUCAUCAGAUCUCGGAAGCUAAGCAGGGUCAGGUCUGGUUUAUACCUGGAUGGGAGACCACCUAGGAAGAUCAGGUGCUAUAGGCA
rnacentral:rRNA from 1 species